rnacentral:rRNA from 1 species
GAUGAACGCUGGCGGCGUGCUUAACACAUGCAAGUCGAACGGAAAGGCCCAAGCUUGCUUGGGUACUCGAGUGGCGAACGGGUGAGUAACACGUGGGUGAGCUGCCCUGCACGUCGGGAUAAGCCGGGGAAACUGGGUCUAAUACCGGAUAGGACGAUGGUUUGGAUGCCAUUGUGGAAAGUUUUUGCGGUGUGGGAUGAGCUCGCGGCCUAUCAGCGUGUUGGUGGGGUAAUGGCCUACCAAGGCGUCGACGGGUAGCCGGCCUGAGAGGGUGUACGGCCACAUCGGAACUGUGAUACAGCCCACACUCCUACGGGAGGCAGCAGUGGCGAAUAUCGCACACUGGGAGCAAGCCUGAGGCAGCGACGCCGCGUGGGGGAUGAGCGCCUUCGGGUUGUAAACUCCUUUCGCUAGGGAUGAAGCGUUUUUGUGACGGUACCUGGAGAAGAAGCACCGGCUAACUACGUG